UCCUAACUGUGACAGGCUGUAUCCCCUAGA
rnacentral:piRNA from 1 species